CAGAACAUGGCACUGGGGCAAGCAGGCCUUUGGCAGCCAGGCGGACAACAAAACCCAGGAGCCCAGCCUGGUUUUGGAUUUAACCUGGGUCUGAAUCCUUUUGAUUUGGGCAUCAAAGUG